AAUCUUGUGAGCAUCCAUCUACUCCAGUUCUGCAAAUAUUACAAAGAGAGGCUAUCAUUACUGUAAACGUCAAUCCAGAAUAUGUGGGAUCAUGCCAUGAUCAACUUUGAAAAGACCUGGAAUGCAGAAACCACCUGGAAGGAGGAAAAUCAAAGCAACACCAAACCAGACCAAAAACUGUUGGAGGAAGUUCUGAGGAAGACAUUUUUUUUUAUUAUUAUUAUUAUUUGUAUGGAUAUGAGGUUUGGAUCCAGUCCAGUAAGUUUGCAAACAAAGCAACAUGUUUAACAACAUUCCUACAGUCUUCCAUCAGACUAAAUACUUAUUUUUCUCCUCUAUUUCAUCCUCUCUUUCUCAUUUAUUUUAGUUAGUUUGCCUUGAGCUCCUUUCUUCAUUUCUUGCAGACCAAGCAUAGAUGCUGACUGAGUGAUGAUUAAUUCUUUGUGCAAUUAACUUAGUUCCUCACUCUUCUAUGAUAGACUGAUAGACUGAUAGAGGCAGUUAAUCUGUUUUAUUAAAAAAUAUAAAAAAAGGAGGGGAGGGGGGCUCUUAUGAUUCUGGUUAGCUGAGAAGCAGAGCAAUUCAUUUGUGGCUCUAUCUGUAGCUACUUCUUUCUUUAAGCUUUGAAUACUCUAAAUUAGCUUGUAGAGAGCUGUGGAUCUAUACUGAUGUAUCUCAUCUACACAGCACCUGAUCUGGUUUGGGUAUACCAGUUCUGUGCUUCAUUAUAAGGAUAUUUACUGAACAGCUUCAGGGCUCAGACAAACAUUCAAGCCAUCCGAGUCACCUGAGCUAAUUAAUUGUCCAUGUUCUUUGUUCAUCUCUGACAAAUGUGAAGUGAAAUGGCAUCUCAAUGAAAGAAGUUAAGACAUGCUUUCUCAGUUUCGUACAGCCAGAUACCAGAUUUUUGAAGUCAGACGAGUUUAUCAGCUGAGAUAAACCAGACAUUAGUAUAUGCCUUAAGGCUACUCUUCAGGUAGGUAGAGACCUACAUGUUGGGUGUAGUGACAAUGGUACAAAUGCCACUGCUCUUCUGCAUGGGCUCCAAUAGUCCUAUGAAAUUUUUGUGGGUUUGUAUUUAAAAAAUAUAAUUUUAAGAUUUUUUUUCUUUUUGCAUUAUUGUCGCAGAGAAAAGCUAAAGAGCAGAAGCCUGAAAAUUCUAAAAACCACAGCAAAUAAGCCCAAGUAACAUUUCCAAAAUCAGUUCUUAAAGCAAUUCCACAACUUUUCCAUGCUGUCCCACAAUUCUGAUGACACUGACAUGACUUUCUGAUUUCUGGAAGCUUUUUUUGCGUCAAGUUUUGGCCGUUAUUACCUAGGUAACUUAUGCAUUCAUUCAUAAAAUAUCUCAUUCUGUUACAGCAGAGCCUUCCCUAGUACAAAAGACUUUUAUAGAAUGGAGAACUUCCUAGGGUGCAUGGAUUUUCUGCUGGCAGACACAAUCAAUACGUGUCAUAUUAGGUAUCACUGGAGAAGUCUUCCUGUCCAACCUUCAAUGUCUUCACAUGAACAAACAAAUAUAGCUUGGGCAAAAUUUCUGCACAGCUUCCAGAAGAAAAAAAAAUGCUUACUCCUAAUUUCUUCAGCUUUCCUAGGUAAAUGUUUUGAAAAACACAAAAGAACUAUGUUCAG